rnacentral:rRNA from 1 species
AGAGUUUGAUUAUGGCUCAGGAUGAACGCUAGCUACAGGCUUAACACAUGCAAGUCGAGGGGCAGCAUUGGAGUAGCAAUACUUCAGAUGGCGACCGGCGCACGGGUGAGUAACACGUAUCCAACCUGCCGCUUACUCGGGGAUAGCCUUUCGAAAGAAAGAUUAAUACCCGAUGGUAUAAAGAGUUCGCAUGUUCUCUUUAUUAAAGAAUUUCGGUAAGCGAUGGGGAUGCGUUCCAUUAGAUAGUUGGCGGGGUAACGGCCCACCAAGUCUACGAUGGAUAGGGGUUCUGAGAGGAAGGUCCCCCACAUUGGAACUGAGACACGGUCCAAACUCCUACGGGAGGCAGCAGUGAGGAAUAUUGGUCAAUGGACGAGAGUCUGAACCAGCCAAAGUAGCGUGAAGGAUGACUGCCCUAUGGGUUGUAAACUUCUUUUAUAAGGGAAUAAAGUGAGGGACGUGUCCCUUUUUGUAUGUACCUUAUGAAUAAGGAUCGGCUAACUCCGUGCCAGCCGCGGC